rnacentral:lncRNA from 1 species
AAUUGUAGCAUGAAUAUUUUUUGGUAUAUAUAAAGAUUUAAUUUUUAUUUAAAAUUAAAUAUUUGGUUCAUAGCAUGAUUGUGUUUGAGUUUAUUGUUAUUAUGUUUCUACAAUAAUUUUCUUUUAUCAUGCUCUUCGGUUAUAUUUCAUGCUAAAUUCAGUUUGCUUGUAAGUUUGUUCUCACAUUAAGGGAUGCCGAAUAAUCUUAUGAUUAUCAUGCGGUGUCAUAAAGGAAUAC